GAUGAACGCUGGCGGCGUGCUUAACACAUUCAAGUCGAACGGGCGACGGGGAGCUUGCUCCCCUGAGCUAGUGGCGGACGGGUGAGUAACGCGUGAGUAACCUGCCUUUCUCUGGGGAAUAACAUCGCGAAAGUGGUGCUAAUACCGCAUAACGUAUUCCGAUCGCAUGUUUGGAAUACCAAAGGAUUUAUUUGGAGAAAGAUGGGCUCGCGUCUGAUUAGGUAGUUGGUGGGGUAACGGCCUACCAAGCCGGCGAUCAGUAGCCGGACUGAGAGGUUGAACGGCCACAUUGGAACUGAGAUACGGUCCAGACUCCUACGGGAGGCAGCAGUGGGGAAUAUUGGGCAAUGGGCGAAAGCCUGACCCAGCGACGCCGCGUGAAGGAAGAAGGUCUUCGGAUUGUAAACUUUUGUCAGCAGGGAAGAAGAAAGUGACGGUACCUGCUAAGAAAGCCACGGCUAACUACGUG
rnacentral:rRNA from 1 species